rnacentral:lncRNA from 1 species
CCAUCUUCAGUCUUUUAAAUUGCAAUGUUGGGGAAAUAAGAUUCACUGUCGUAGCUUCAAUCUGUUCCACUACACCUCCAGUGGAGUAAGAUUCACCGUCGUGGUUUCAAUCUGCUCCACUGUAAUACCAAAGAGAUAAGAUUCGCUGCCCACAGCUUCAAUCCGCUCCACUUCAGCUAAUCCAAGUCUUAACGCUAGGGAGAUAAGAUUCACCGUCGUGUCUUCAAUCUGCUCCGCUACAACGCCAAGGAAAUAAGAUUCGUCGUUGUCAGUGCAGGAAGGCAAGGCUGGUGUCUUCGAUCUGCUUCGCUAUCAGUGCAGGAAGGCAAGAUCUGCUAUUUUUAACCUGCUCCGCUACAACCCAGGGAGGCAAGGUUGGUGUCUUCGAUCUACUUCGAUGUUAGUGCAGGAAGGCAAGAUCUGCUAUUUUUAACCUACUCCGCUACAACCCAGGGAGGCAAGGCUGGUGUCUUCGAUCUGCU